rnacentral:rRNA from 1 species
UACGGGAGGCAGCAGUGGGGAAUAUUGCACAAUGGGCGAAAGCCUGAUGCAGCUAUGCCGCGUGUAUGAAGAAGGCCUUAGGGUUGUAAAGUACUUUCAUCGGGGAGGAAAAAACAAAACUAAUAAUUUUAUUUCUUGACGUUACCCGAAAAAGAAGCACCGGCUAACUCCGUGCCAGCAGCCGCGGUAAUACGGAGGGUGCUAGCGUUAAUCAGAAUUACUGGGCGUAAAGAGCACGUAGGUGGUUUUUUUAAGUCAGAUGUGAAAUCCCUGGGCUUAACCUGGAACUGCAUUUUGAAACUGAAAUACUAGAGUAUCGUAGAGGGAGGUAGAAUUCUAGGUGUAGCGGUGAAAUGCGUAGAUAUCUGGAGGAAUACCUGUGGCGAAAGCGGCCUCCUAAACGAAUACUGACACUGAGGUGCGAAAGCGUGGGGAGCGAAACAGGGAUUAGAUACCCGU